rnacentral:sRNA from 1 species
CAGCAGGUUUCUGAAAGCAAUUUGCCUGGGAAAUUAAUUCUUGCCAUCAAUGAAAAUGGUGUACACUUACUAGACUUAAAAACUAAGGCACAGCACAUGAGAUAUCCUUUGUCUAAAAUUUCCAGUUGUAAAAGUGAUGAUUCAUCAUUUUUUAUAGUUUUAAAAAGCAGUCUGGAUACUGAUGUGGAGUUUAAAUGUCUGACUAAAAUGGGAUACAGAAUGCAAGAUCUUUUAUCAUCUUAUAUGAAACUAAUCAACUAGUCAAAAAAUAAAUUAACACAAGCUUUAGUUUGGAACCUCCAGAGGAGAACAUCCACAUUUUGAUCUACUAAUAAGUGCUGAUUUAGUUUUAGUUGAUCUGUGAAUAGAAAACUUAGAAAAGCUGAAAUUGUUUCAGAUUACUAGUAUCAUAUCUAAAACAUACCUGUUAUUAGCUGAAUAAUGACAUGGCCUGCAUUGUGCCGAUAGGCCUAAAAUCCAAAAUCCAAUCAUACCAUUACUAAGCAAAUUAUUAUAGCUUUUCUUGUACCUAAAACUGUAUGCAGACAUGUAUCUUCUUCUUUUAAUUAUGUUCUUUUUUCAAGAAAUGUCUUGAAUUUAUAAAAUAACAGUUUUUAACCAAAUUUGUCUUUGAUUUAAUACAUUUUGGUUAAUGUUUAAAAUUUUGCUUUAUUGUCAUGAAGUUGCUUAAAUUUUAUUGUAUUCAAAUCAGGCAUCAACUUUGGCAUUAUUAUAAAAAGCCUAGUAUGGUUUUAAAAUACUGAUUUAAUAUGAUAAAAAUUUGCUUUUAUACAAAUAUAUUUAAAUACCGGUACCUAUUUAUUUUAUUUUGUAAAUAUUUAUAGCAGUUUUUAUUAGCCAUUUAUUAAGGGUAAUUAAAAAAUGUUAUGAAAGUUACUUUUAACUUUUCCUUGUUGCAAAUUGGUAUAAAAUUUAUUUGAAUGAUCGUAUAUAAAUUUAUGGAUAUUAGCCUAAGCCUAAU